UUACGACUACAUAUCAGGCAUAUCAAUAAGCGGAGGAAAAGAAACUAACAAGGAUUCCCUUAGUAACGGCGAGUGAAGCGGGAAGAGCUCAAAUUUGAAAUCUUCAAGGUUCUACCUUGACGAAUUGUAGUUUAAAGAAGUGUUUUCUGUUAGAUGAGUAGCAAAAGUUCCUUGGAAUGGGACAUCAUAGAGGGUGAGAAUCCCGUAUUUGGUUAUUCAUUCUAGCUUUGUGAUACACUUUCAAAGAGUCGGAUUGUUUGGGAAUGCAGUCCAAAAUGGGUGGUAAAUUUCAUCUAAAGCUAAAUAUCGGCGAGAGACCGAUAGCGAACAAGUACCGUGAGGGAAAGAUGAAAAGAACUUUGAAAAGAGAGUUAAACAGUACGUGAAAUUGUCAAAAGGGAAGCGUUUGACACCAGUGUUGUUUAGUUGAAAAUCAAUUCAAUAGUUUUUGAUUCUAAGUAGUAUUGACUUCAUCAGCUUGCUGCUUUCUUCUCAGAAAUUAUUGAAUGCACUUUUCAGUUAACAAGUCAACAUCAAUUUCUUUUGUUGUAAAAGGGUAAGAGGAAGGUGGCUUGCGCUUCGGCUCAAGUGUUUAUAGCCUUUUAUCUCUGCAAUCGGAGAGAUUGAGGUCUGCAGCGUAGAUCCUUCGGGGUUAGAUACAUUGGUGCUAAGCUAUAGCCUUGUAUAGACAACUUGUUGACUAUGCUCAGUCAUGUAGCUUACUCGCUGAUGCUAUUUUACCUACGCUUAGGAUGUUGAGUAGCGACAUACGCAC
rnacentral:rRNA from 1 species